GCAAACUUGGUCAUUUAGAGGAAGUAAAAGUCGUAACAAGGUUUCCGUAGGUGAACCUGCGGAAGGAUCAUUAAAAAAGAAUUUACUAGAAUCUCUUUCUUUUUUUAAAAGUUUGAGGUUCAAAUGUAAACUCUUGUGCACUUUUGAUUUUUUGGUAGUCGUUUCCUUUUUUUCGAAAGAAAAAUGGGGAAAUGGUUCCCUGAAAAAGAACCAGAAGACUACCAAAAGGUUUAAAACUCUUAAUAAUAUCUUAUAAUGUUAUUUUACAAUAACAUAAAUGUCUGAUGUGUUUGAUUAUAAACAUGCUUUAUAAUUAAAAUUACAACUUUUGACAACGGAUCUCUUGGCUCUCGCAUCGAUGAAGAACGCAGC
rnacentral:misc_RNA from 1 species